rnacentral:rRNA from 1 species
GAUGAACGCUGGCGGCAUGCCUAAUACAUGCAAGUCGAACGGACUCUUAAUGAAAAGAAUUUCCAUCCUUUUGGGACUUCCUUUCACUAAGAGUUAGUGGCGGACGGGUGAGUAACACGUUAGUACCUGCCCCAAAGUGGGGGAUAACUGCCCGAAAGGGUGGCUAAUACCGCAUGUGAUGCUUCGGCAUCAAAGCAGCAAUGCGCUUUGGGAGGGGCUUGCGUCUGAUUAGCUAGUUGGUAGGGUAAUGGCCUACCAAGGCGACGAUCAGUAGCUGGUUCGAGAGGAUGACCAGCCACACUGGGACUGAGAUACGGCCCAGACUCCUACGGGAGGCAGCAGUAAGGAAUCUUCCGCAAUGGGCGAAAGCCUGACGGAGCAAUGCCGCGUGCAGGAUGACGGCCUUCGGGUUGUAAACUGCUUUUCUGAAGGAAGAUUAUGACGGUACUUCAGGAAUAAGGACCGGCUAACUACGUGCCAGCAGCCGCAGUAAAAC